rnacentral:rRNA from 1 species
UACAGAGGUCUCAAGCGUUGUUCGGAUUCAUUGGGCGUAAAGAGCGUGUAGGCGGCCAGACAGGUCCGUUGUGAAAACUCGAGGCUCAACCUCGAGACGGUCGAUGGAAACCGUCUGGCUAGAGUCCGGAAGAGGAGUGUGGAAUUCCUGGUGAGCGGUGAAAUGCGCAGAUAUCAGGAAGAACACCUAUGGCGAAGGCAGCACUCUGGGACGGUACUGACGCUGAGACGCGAAAGCGUGGGAGCGAACAGGAUAGAUACC